rnacentral:lncRNA from 1 species
UCUGCAGAAGGGGACUCUGUGUCCACAUUCUGUGUGAACCUCUCUAGUGGAUGGUCCAGAGCCUCCUCACCUGCAGGAUGUAGGCACUGGGUGGCACGGGGUACUGGACUCCAUUGAUGGUGAAGACGACGUCGCCAUCUGAGUUCUCGCUGGCUCCGAUGUCGCUCUGGAUGUUGGCAAUGGGGCUGGUUGGGCCGGUCAGCAGAGAGGUGCCGGUGUCAACAAUGGCCUGGCAGCCCUCAGCGCAGGCGAUGGCCUCUCCGUUCAUGGUGCCGUAGACUGAGGGCACCCACAGGUUGGAGGAGCCGGUGUCAAAGACGACGGUGAAAUCCUGGGCAGGAGUUCCGAUGCCGAUAGUGCCGAAGUACUCCAUCUGU